CUGACCGGGCCUAGGAUGGGCCCGACACAAAGCUGGGGUGGCACCAGGGCCAGAAUCCCGGGGGUCCGAUCGCCAGCCCCACAUGUGGCACUGAGUCCCAAGGGGACAGAGCAGGUGGAGGGCAGGUGAGCACCUCCCAAGCCCCUCCACAUCUCCCUGAAUUUCCCACCAGGACGGAGACAGUCAGAUUGGUAUGACUGAUGAGCACCAAGACUGGCAGGAGGGAGACCUGGCCUGGUCCUGGCAGGAGGGAGGGGCAGGAGGGAGGGGGCAGGGGGCAAGGGAAGGGACUCAGUCUCCUGUUCCUGCCCAGGCUAUCCCUCUCAGCCUCAGAGGCCGGUGGCCGAGGCCCAGCCAGCCAGCCAGUCUUGCCAUGACCUCUGAUGUCAUUCUAGGCGUCCUCUUCUCAGCCUCCACUGUUCUGAGAUGCUGGCCUCUGAAUGAACGGAUGCUCAGGAGGAGGUGACGAGGGUGCUCACAUCACAGAGCACGGUGAGCUGACACUCAGAAGAUGCCGUAGCACCUGGUGCACAGAAAACGCUACGUCUGUCCAGUUACAGAUGUCGUGGAUCAAGACUAGGGAUUUGGGGAGCAGCCAGGUGUGGCCCUGCUCUCAGGGUUCUCCCGGGUCUGGGGCGGCAGACACACGGCUCACGUCAACCCUCGCGGGCAGCCUGGGGCAGGAGAGGGGGCUCACUCCUGGGGACGUGGGGCUUGGAGGGAGGCCGGGG
rnacentral:lncRNA from 1 species